CCCGGCACAAGCGGUGGAGUAUGUGGUUUAAUUCGACGCAACGCGCAGAACCUUACCUAGGCUUGACAUCCCGGGAAUUUGCUGGAAACAGUGAAGUGCUUUCAUUAGAAAGAGCCCGGUGACAGGUGCUGCAUGGCUGUCGUCAGCUCGUGUCGUGAGAUGUUGGGUUAAGUCCCGCAACGAGCGCAACCCUCGCCUUUAGUUGCCAGCAUUCAGUUGGGCACUCUAAAGGGACUGCCGGUGUCAAACCGGAGGAAGGUGGGGAUGACGUCAAGUCCUCAUGGCCUUUAUGUCUAGGGCUACACACGUACUACAAUGGCAGGCACAAAGGGCAGCGACACAGCGAUGUGAUGCGAAUCCCGAAAAGCCUGUCUCAGUCCGGAUCGGAGUCUGCAACUCGACUCCGUGAAGUUGGAAUCGCUAGUAAUCGUGGAUCAGCAUGCCACGGUGAAUACGUUCCCGGGCCUU
rnacentral:rRNA from 1 species